GAUGAACGCUGGCGGCGUGCCUAAUACAUGCAAGUCGAGCGAAUGGGUUAAGAGCUUGCUCUUAUGAAGUUAGCGGCGGACGGGUGAGUGACACGUGGGUAACCUGCCCAUAAGACUGGGAUAACUCCGGGAAACCGGGGCUAAUACCGGAUAACAUUUUGAACCGCAUGGUUCGAAAUUGAAAGGCGGCUUCGGCUGUCACUUAUGGAUGGACCCGCGUCGCAUUAGCUAGUUGGUGAGGUAACGGCUCACCAAGGCAACGAUGCGUAGCCGACCUGAGAGGGUGAUCGGCCACACUGGGACUGGGACACGGCCCAGACUCCUACGGGAGGCAGCAGUAGGGAAUCUUCCGCAAUGGACGAAAGUCUGACGGAGCAACGCCGCGUGAGUGAUGAAGGCUUUCGGGUCGUAAAACUCUGUUGUUAGGGAAGAACAAGUGCUAGUUGAAUAAGCUGGCACCUUGACGGUACCUAACCAGAAAGCCACGGCUAACUACGUGCCAGCAGCCGCCGUAA
rnacentral:rRNA from 1 species